AGCUUUAUACAAUGGCAGUAUCAUAACCAGUGAAGUUAAUUUGAGGAGCAAUUGUUGCUAAUUAAAAACUACUUAUAAUAAUAAUAAUAAUAGUAAAGUUGGAAGGGACCUUGGAGGUCAUCUAGUCC